AAAAAUAUUGUACACAUAAAAUUUUUUUAAAAAAAUCACAACACACACACAUACACCCACCCCCCAUUGAUGAAAGUGUUGAUCCCAACUGGCUAUAAGAUCAGUCCCUACAGUCAUGGCAGCUGAUUAGACAGAAUGGGAGGACUACAAAUAGUGCAACCAUGCUUUAUCCUUCCCUCUAACCACUUCCUGUACAGGACUUCCACACCUGUCCUUUAGAGCAAUGCUGUCUCCUCACCAGUGUCUGAAUAGAAGUUGGACAGAUAAGACAGGUCAGAGAAUGUCACUGUUGUGAACACAGGCAUAGAAGGGCUUUGGAAGUUUCAACCUUCACAUGCAGCAAGAGACACCCACCACCAGCAAGAGACAGAUUGUUGGCUGUCCUAUUAAGAAUGAGACUAAACGGGGUUGGGGAUUUAGCUCAGUGGUAGAGCCCUUGCCUAGGAAGCGCAAGGCCCUGGGUUCGGUCCCCAGCUCCAAAAAAAAGAACAAAAAAAAAAAAAAAAAAAAAA
rnacentral:lncRNA from 1 species